rnacentral:rRNA from 1 species
CCUACGGGUGACAGCAGUGAGGAAUAUUGGUCCAUGGACGGAAGUCUGAACCAGCCAUGCAGCGUGCCGGACGACGGCUCUAUGAGUUGUAAACUGCUUUUGUACAAGGGUAAACCUGAAUACGUGUAUUCAGCUGAAAGUACUGUACGAAUAAGGAUAGGCUAACUACGUGACAGCAGCCGCGGUAAGACUGAGGAUCCAAUCGUUAUACGGAUUUAUUGGGUUUAAAGGGUGCGUAGGCGGAUUGAUAAGUUAGAGGUGAAAUGUCCGAGCUUAACUCGGGAACUGCCUCUAAUACUGUUGAUCUAGAGAGUAGAUGCGGUAGGCGGAAUGUAUGGUGUAGCGGUGAAAUGCUUAGAUAUCAUACAGAACACCGAUUGCGAAGGCAGCUUACCAAUCUAUAUCUGACGUUGAGGCACGAAAGCGUGGGGAGCAAACAGGAUUAGAUACCCCUGUAGUC